GUGAAGAAGGCCUUUUGGUUGUAAAGCACUUUAAGCAGUGAAGAAGACUCUUCGGUUAAUACCCGGAGACGAUGACAUUAGCUGCAGAAUAAGCACCGGCUAACUCUGUGCCAGCAGCCGCGGUAAUACAGAGGGUGCAAGCGUUAAUCGGAAUUACUGGGCGUAAAGCGAGCGUAGGUGGCUUGAUAAGUCAGAUGUGAAAUCCCCGGGCUUAACCUGGGAACUGCAUCUGAAACUGUUAGGCUAGAGUAGGUGAGAGGGAAGUAGAAUUUCAGGUGUAGCGGUGAAAUGCGUAGAGAUCUGAAGGAAUACCGAUGGCGAAGGCAGCUUCCUGGCAUCAUACUGACACUGAGGCUCGAAAGCGUGGGUAGCAAACAGGAUUAGGUACCCUGGUAGUCCACGCCGCAAACGAUGUCUACUAGUCGUUGGGUCCCUUGAGGACUUAGUGACGCAGCUAACGCAAUAAGUAGACCGCCUGGGGAGUACGGCCGCAAGGUUAAAACUCAAAUGAAUUGACGGGGGCCCGCACAAGCGGUGGAGCAUGUGGUUUAAUUCGAUGCAACGCGAAGAACCUUACCUGGUCUUGACAUAUCUAGAAUCCUGCAGAGAUGCGGGAGUGCCUUCGGGAAUUAGAAUACAGGUGCUGCAUGGCUGUCGUCAGCUCGUGUCGUGA
rnacentral:rRNA from 1 species